GCAAAGGGUUCAUAGUUUUGUUAUCUCCCAUUGACAUUGAGUUCUCCUAUCCUAACCUCGGUAAAAACUGAGGUUUUU
rnacentral:ncRNA from 1 species